AUACGGAGGAUGCAAGCGUUAUCCGGAUUUAUUGGGUUUAAAGGGUGCGCAGGCGGCCAUUUAAGUCAGCGGUUAAAUCGUGGGGCUCAACCCCAUUCUGCCGUUGAUACUGGGUGGCUUGAUUGCGGUCGAGGUUGGCGGAAUUCGUUGUGUAGCGGUGAAAUGCAUAGAUAUGACGAAGAACACCGAUUGCGUAGGCAGCUGACCAGACCGCAAAUGACGCUCAUGCACGAAAGUGCGGGGAUCGAACAGGAUUGGAUACCCUGGUAGUCCGCACAGUAAACGAUGAAUACUUGUUUUCGGCGAUAUAAUGUCGGAGGCAAAGCGAAAGCGAUAAGUAUUCCACCUGGGGAGUACGCCGGCAACGGUGAAACUCAAAUGAAUUGGCGGGG
rnacentral:rRNA from 1 species